rnacentral:rRNA from 1 species
AUUGAACGCUGGCGGCAUGCCUUACACAUGCAAGUCGAACGGUAACAGGUCUUCGGAUGCUGACGAGUGGCGAACGGGUGAGUAAUACAUCGGAACGUGCCUAGUAGUGGGGGAUAACUACCCGAAAGAGUGGCUCAUACCGCAUGAGAUCUACGGAUGAAAGCAGGGGAUCGCAAGACCUUGUGCUACUAGAGCGGCCGAUGGCAGAUUAGGUAGUUGGUGGGAUAAAAGCUUACCAAGCCGACGAUCUGUAGCUGGUCUGAGAGGACGAUCAGCCACACUGGGACUGAGACACGGCCCAGACUCCUACGGGAGGCAGCAGUGGGGAAUUUUGGACAAUGGGCGAAAGCCUGAUCCAGCAAUGCCGCGUGCAGGAUGAAGGCCUUCGGGUUGUAAACUGCUUUUGUACGGAACGAAAAGCUCUGGGUUAAUACCCUGGGGUCAUGACGGUACCGUAAGAAUAAGCACCGGCUAACUACGUGCCAGCAGCCGCCGUAACAC